rnacentral:rRNA from 1 species
GACGAACGCUGGCGGCGUGCUUAACACAUGCAAGUCGAACGGAAAGGCCCUGCUUGUUUGGGGUGCUCGAGUGGCGAACGCGUGAGUAACACGUGAGUAACCUGCCCUUGACUUUGGGAUAACUUCAGGAAACUGGGGCUAAUACCGGAUAGCAGCCCCUGCUGCAUUGUGGGCGUUGGAUAUUUUCGGCUGUUGGGGAUGGACUCGCGGCUUAUCAGCUUGUUGGUGGGGUAGUGGCUUACCAAGGCUUUGACGGGUACCCGGCCUGGGAGGGUGACCGGCCACAUUGGGACUGAGAGACGGAGCAGACUCCUACGGGAGGCAGCAGUGGGGAAUAUUGCACAAUGGGCGGACGCCUGAUGCAGCAACGCCGCGUGCGGGAUGACGGCCUUCGGGUUGUAAACCGCUUUCGCCUGUGACGAAGCGUGAGUGACGGUAAUGGGUAAAGAAGCACCGGCUAACUACGUG